CUUUGUGAUUGCUGGGGGGGAUAGUCCAGGUUCUGCCCAGAUGUCCUGCCACGGCACUGUGCAAGGAGCGGUCUGAACGUGUGCAGAGAGCGAAGGUGAGUGACGUGAGGAAGUGAGCCUGCCCAGCGCCACCAGCACCCUGCCUGCCACCGCUGGGCUCCGUGGCUAAUCCCAGCCCUGUCCUUCAGUGUGUGCAACCCAGGGCCUCAGGCCAUCUCCCUGCAAAGCGGUGCAUCCCCUGGUGCUUGCCCUACCUGCUCCGCUCCUGGGGGUGCCACAUGCUUCUCCAAAAGGAACUCAAAGCUCAGCAGUGCUGGGAAUGUGGUGGAGCCUCCCCUCUGUCUGAGGGCAGCCUUUCUUCUCCAGGAAAUCUGCAUCCUCCAUCUCUAGAGCCAAAGCACUCCUUUGCUGUGAUUGCUGCCUUUGAAGCAAGCUAAACUUUCCAAGUGCAAGCUCCAGCCAAGCUUGGGCUCUGGCUCAGCGCUCUUGACACAAAGUGUUCUCCAGCCCUGGGAUAUAUAACCUUCCAAGUCUUCCCACAGCUCCUGGGCCGUGGCUUGGCAGCAGUGCUUCCCUGCGCUGGGCAGAAGCAGGUUAGAUCCAAGCCUGAGAAACCAGCGUUGCUGUAAUGAUACACAAAAUAGAAAUCUCCACCUAACCCAGGACAAAAUGCUGUGCAAUCACUUUUGGAUCGCUGUGGGCUGCUUUCGCCGCAGACGCGAAGUCUGACAUCCAAAUGCACAACAGAAGCUGUUUGCAUGAGGCUCCGUGUGCCCCUCCAGAGAGGUGUGGGGCCACUCACCAUAGCAGCCUGCAGCAGCGAUGCUCCGAGUACCGCAUCCCACAGCCCCGGAGGAGC
ensembl:lncRNA